AUGAGUACUGAUCAGCCAUCCCGCGUGUGCGAUGAAGGCCUUCGGGUUGUAAAGCACUUUUGGCAGGAAAGAAACGUCAUGGGCUAAUACCCCGUGAAACUGACGGUACCUGCAGAAUAAGCACCGGCUAACUACGUGCCAGCAGCCGCGGUAAUACGUAGGGUGCAAGCGUUAAUCGGAAUUACUGGGCGUAAAGCGUGCGCAGGCGGUUCGGAAAGAAAGAUGUGAAAUCCCAGAGCUUAACUUUGGAACUGCAUUUUUAACUACCGAGCUAGAGUGUGUCAGAGGGAGGUGGAAUUCCGCGUGUAGCAGUGAAAUGCGUAGAUAUGCGGAGGAACACCGAUGGCGAAGGCAGCCUCCUGGGAUAACACUGACGCUCAUGCACGAAAGCGUGGGGAGCAAACAGGAUUAGAUACCCUGGUAGUCCACGCCCUAAACGAUGUCAACUAGCUGUUGGGGCCUUCGGGCCUUGGUAGCGCAGCUAACGCGUGAAGUUGACCGCCUGGGGAGUACGGUCGCAAGAUUAAAACUCAAAGGAAUUGACGGGGACCCGCACAAGCGGUGGAUGAUGUGGAUUAAUUCGAUGCAACGCGAAAAACCUUACCUACCCUUGACAUGUCUGGAAUUCCGAAGAGAUUUGGAAGUGCUCGCAAGAGAACUGAAGAAACGGACAGU
rnacentral:rRNA from 1 species